rnacentral:rRNA from 1 species
CCUACGGGCGGCAGCAGUGAGGAAUAUUGGUCAAUGGACGAGAGUCUGAACCAGCCACGUAGCGUGAAGGAUGACUGACCUAUGGGUUGUAAACUUCUUUUAUAUGGGAAUAAAAUGUUCCACGUGUGGGAUUUUGUAUGUACCAUAUGAAUAAGGAUCGGCUCACUCCGUUCCAGCAGCCGCGGUAAUACGGAGGAUCCGAGCGUUAACCGGAUUUCGUGGGUUUAAAGGGAGCGUAGGUGGAUUGUUAAGUCAGUUGUUAAAGUUUGCGGCUCAACCGCAAAAUUGCAGUUGAAACUGGCAGUCUUGAGUACAGUAGAGGUGGGCGGAAUUCGUGGUGUAGCGGUGAAAUGCUUAGAUAUCACGAAGAACUCCGAUUGCGAAGGCAGCUCACUGGACUGCAACUGACACUGAGGCUCGAAAGUGUGGGUAUCAAACAGGAUUAGAUACCCGAGUAGUC